rnacentral:tRNA from 1 species
UCCUCGGUAGUAUAGUGGUUAGUAUCCCCGCCUGUCACGCGGGAGACCGGGGUUUGAUUCCCCGCCGGGGAG